rnacentral:rRNA from 1 species
CUUGGUGAUUAUAGAGAAGGUGAAACACCUGAUUCCAUACCGAACUCAGAAGUGAACCCCUUCGUCGCUGAUGGUACUUUAGCUUAAGCUACGGGAGAGUAAGUAGUUGCCAAGC